rnacentral:lncRNA from 1 species
CAGAAACUAGGUAUCUGUAGCUGCAAGAUGAGUUUGAAGUAUUGAAUGUUCUGGUAGGGCCUCCCAGUUUUUACUGUACAGUAAGUGAAUGAAGUUCUAACAUUAGCUCCCUCUAGAAGCUGCAUACUUCUGUUAAGUGGCACUUUCUCUCUGCCUUGGCUCUCCUUUUCACAUUGGGUUCCUGCAGCUGUCAGCAUUUCCUUCUCCCUCCUAUUGGCGCAUGAGUACGCUUUCUUCUAUUCCAGGAACUCUUUUGCUUCUCAUGCCAGACCCAAUUCUGUUUUGUUUCUUUGGUCAUUGAAAUCACGAGUACAGAUUUUCCUCUCAUUAAGGGCAAGAAGUCUAAGCAUCUUGAGCAAAAUGAAGAAUUCGCUAUGGCCAGUGUCCAGCUCAAACGUUCUUAAGGAAGGAGGGUUUCCAUGGGGCAGAGUCCACGUACCAACAUUGCUUGGCCUUGUUUUACAUGAGCCCUUUAAGCAGAAGAGACAGGUUAGUAUGAUUUCUGUAAUUUAUGCAGAUCUUCCCAUUUUGCCUUAGUCAUAACUUUCU